rnacentral:rRNA from 1 species
ACGGAAGGCAGCAGUGGGGAAUAUUGGGCAAUGGGCGAAAGCCUGACCCAGCAAUGCCGCGUGAAGGAAGAAGGUCUUCGGAUUGUAAACUUCUUUUAUGAGGGACGAAGGAAUUGACGGUACCUCAUGAAUAAGCCACGGCUAACUACGUGCCAGCAGCCGCGGUAAUACGUAGGUGGCAAGCGUUAUCCGGAUUUACUGGGUGUAAAGGGCGCGUAGGCGGGGAAGCAAGUCAGAUGUGAAAUCCAUGGGCUCAACCCAUGAACUGCAUUUGAAACUGUCGUUCUUGAGUGUCGGAGAGGCAAGCGGAAUUCCUAGUGUAGCGGUGAAAUGCGUAGAUAUUAGGAGGAACACCAGUGGCGAAGGCGGCUUGCUGGACGAUAACUGACGCUGAGACACGAAAGCGUGGGGAGCAAACAGGAUUAGAUACCCUGGUA